rnacentral:rRNA from 1 species
CCUACGGGAGGCAGCAGUGGGGAAUAUUGGGCAAUGGGCGCAAGCCUGACCCAGCAACGCCGCGUGAAGGAAGAAGGCUUUCGGGUUGUAAACUUCUUUUAAGAGGGAAGAGCAGAAGACGGUACCUCUUGAAUAAGCCACGGCUAACUACGUGCCAGCAGCCGCGGUAAUACGGAGGAUGCGAGCGUUAUCCGGAUUUAUUGGGUUUAAAGGGUGCGUAGGCGGACAGUCAAGUCAGCGGUAAAAAUGCGGUGCUCAACGCCGUACAGCCGUUGAAACUGGCAGUCUUGAGUGGGCGAGAAGUAUGCGGAAUGCGUGGUGUAGCGGUGAAAUGCAUAGAUAUCACGCAGAACUCCGAUUGCGAAGGCAGCAUACCGGCGCCCGACUGACGCUGAGGCACGAAAGCGUGGGUAUCGAACAGGAUUAGAUACCCGAGUAGUC